rnacentral:rRNA from 1 species
AUUGAACGCUGGCGGCAUGCCUUACACAUGCAAGUCGAACGGUAACAGGUCUUCGGAUGCUGACGAGUGGCGAACGGGUGAGUAAUACAUCGGAACGUGCCCGAUCGUGGGGGAUAACGCAGCGAAAGCUGUGCUAAUACCGCAUACGAUCUACGGAUGAAAGCGGGGGAUCGCAAGACCUCGCGCGGACGGAGCGGCCGAUGGCAGAUUAGGUAGUUGGUGGGAUAAAAGCUUACCAAGCCGACGAUCUGUAGCUGGUCUGAGAGGACGACCAGCCACACUGGGACUGAGACACGGCCCAGACUCCUACGGGAGGCAGCAGUGGGGAAUUUUGGACAAAGGGCGCAAGCCUGAUCCAGCCAUGCCGCGUGCAGGAUGAAGGCCUUCGGGUUGUAAACUGCUUUUGUACGGAACGAAAAAGCUCUCUCUAAUACAGGGGGUGAAUGACGGUACCGUAAGAAUAAGCACCGGCUAACUACGUG